GUUUAAGACCUUUAAAAAUGGUCGCACCUGCUCCUGUUUAAUUACCCAUCCUUUUAACGGACAGAAUUGAACUUAUAGGACUGAUAAUCAACCGUGUAAAGGUAUACAAACAGCAUUCUUUUAUUAUGUAGAUUUCAAAAAAUAUAAACCAACGUUUGUUGUAAAAACCUGAAAUUCUUUCAAAGCUGUUAUUGUCCGCUCUGACUUCAGUUCCGUCACAUCUUCCCCGUUGACUCUCUAUAUUAAUAUGUAAGUAUUAUAUACACACAAGCAUUUAUAUUGUAUACAUGUCAUAAGUACGUAUGUUUAAUUUGAAGCUUAUUUUGAUGAUAAACGUUACUGAAGCUAUAAUUCCGCCGAGGUCGACUUUGCCUUUUAUCUUUUCGGGGUCGAUAAAUUAAGUACCAGUUACGCACUGGGGUCAAUAGAAUCGACUUAAUCCGUUUGUCUGUCCUUGUUUGUCCCCUCUGUGUUUAGCCCCUUGUGGGUAGUAAAGAAAUAGGUAGUUGUCUUAUUACUUUCAACGUUUCGUUCUCCCUUUGAAGCUCCACUCUAAUUUUCGAUAUUCCCUAAAUCUUAAUAUCAAAUACCGACAGAAAGAGGAAGUUUAUAUUUCUUAACAGGCGAUUCUUCGGUAUAGGUACACACGUGACUUUGUUUACAUUUCUGAAGAUAACAGAAAUCCUUUUCUCCCACCCCUAAACCCCAUAUAAAAAUUUUAAAAAACACUUUCUUGAAAUGUAUCCGGUACUUCCGGUACAUAUACCGAAGUUAUGCCUCUUAACAUCCAUGUAAACUUGACAAAUUCUAUUGCACAUUCGUAAUUCAAAGUGAAAACUUUUGGGCGAUCUUUCGUUUUAACUCGAAUGAAUUAUGAAUUAUCUUCUGUGCUUUAUACUGUUCUUUUAUUGUUUCAGGAUUUCACAUCACAUUGGAAUAAUUGAACUGCGAUGUAUGUGGGAGAUCAUUCUCUCAACCAUAUCUCUAUAAAGCUACAGUGAAUUAUGACUUUAUGCCAAGCCAUCUUCAGAAGCCAAUACGUACGGGAUGAAAGACCUCGAAGCUACAGUGAAUUACAUUGAAAUAUCCUUGGCAGCAUUUCCUUACUUCAUUGCAGAAUGCGCUCAAAAUGGUUUUGCAUUCGAAGGAAAUUUGGAGGAAUUUACAAAGGACUUUACAACAUCUUUAAAUAUCAGUGACGAUCUCAGUGGAUGGAAUAUUUGUUAGGAAUAAUUUAUGAAACAGAAGAGAAGAAAAGUAUCCAUAUAUUAUUUCUUUACUACCCACAAGGGGCUAAACAUAGAGAGGACAAACAAGGACAGACAUAGGGAUUAAGUCGAUUACAUCGACCCCAGUGCAUAACUGGUACUUUAUUUAUCGAUCCCGAAAGGAUGAAAGGCAAAGUCAACCUCGGCAAAAUUUGAACUCAGAACGUAGUGGCAGACGAAAUACCUAUUUCUUUACUACCCACAAGGGGCUAAACACAGAGGGGACAAACAAGGACAGACAAACGGAUUAAGUCGAUUACAUCGACCCCAGUGCAUAACUGGUACUUUAUUUAUCGAUCCCGAAAGGAUGAAAGGCAAAGUCAACCUCGGCAAAAUUUGAACUCAGAACGUAGUGGCAGACGAAAUACCUAUUUCUUUACUACCCACAAGGGGCUAAACACAGAG
rnacentral:lncRNA from 1 species